UGUUAACGAGAAUGGUUGAUUUUGUGGUAAAAAGCGAACAAGUGAAAAAAUAAAUGAAAACAAGUGAUUGUGUGUGAAUAUAAUCGGGAAUAGAAACUGUAAAUUUAUUAAAGAGUGAUUAACAACAACAAAGAAAACAAAAGAGAAAAGCAACAACUAAAACUUAAAAUAUAAACUUAGAGUUUAUUUUGUUUUUGUUGUUUUACUUUUUUUUUCUACUUUUAAUGAAAGUCAACUCUAAAUACAAUAAAAAGAAAGAAAAAACACAUACAUAAAAACAACAACAACAAUUUCUUGAACAAUAAAAAAUAAACAAAAACAACAACAAUAACAAUAAUAAGAAAAAAUAUUUCAUAGUUUUUCUCAGACUAUUUUGAAAUUUUGUGAAAAUUCAACAAUAAAGUUAAAAAAAAAUCUGAAAAAAUACAACAGCAGCAGCAACAACAGCAACUACUACUGCAUCCAUAACGUCAACAACAACAACAUCUACAACAACAAAUACUUUUAAAUCUAACUUACAUACUUUGGAUUUUUCUUUGGCGGUGCUUUUUUUCACCAAAUUUCGGUACAUGUCCUAACCGAUUAUUUAAAAAUCAU